UUUUCAGCUACGAGGUCUGCCUUGUGGGCCAGAAAGCCUGUUCACCCAACUCUAACCACUGGGACUGUUAGCGGAAGUGGAUCCAGGCAGCGGUUUUCAGACAGGAAGAGGCCUUGAGAAAAAUGGACUAAUUUGGGAGAAGCAAAGGCCCCCAUUUCCUGGCCAGAGGUGUCACCUGACCUUGGGCUGUCAUCAAGCCGUCACCCGCAGCAGGAGCAGAGCAGACAGUUCCAUAUUCAGAGCACUGCCGGGUUGUCAUGCCUUUGGGGAUACCCCGAGGCCUGGAACACUUGUCCGUCUGGACCCGUCCAGCCUUCAAACAAGCCUUCAAACAGCCCCUCCUCUGGGGACCUUCUCAAGCUUUGUCUUCCCUUCCUGAGCCCAGGAGGAAUUCACUUGCUCCCUCCUCACUCCAGAGCCCAGGCCAUACUUCUCAGCAGCACCCAUCCCAGGCCAUUGCCUUCGUUGUGGACAUAGCUUUGGCGCCACUGGUCUCUGAGCCGUCCAGGCUCAGGGCCCACCUCUGCCUGUUUAAUUUCAGUACCCAGCCUGACGCAGGGGAGGAUGUGGGAAUGAAGGAAUGAUUUCUCAGGAAGAUACGCCCUUUUCCUGGGAAAACAGCCUAAAUGCCAUGUCUUCUCCAUAAGGAUCAUCUUUGUUCAUGAAGGAUCAUAAAAAGUCUAAUUAAAAAAUUAAAACUUUAAAAAACAUAUGCUUAUUAUUAUUAUUUUGUCUUUUUAAGGCCGCACCCGAGGCACAUGGAGGUUCCCAGGCUAGGGGUCUAAGCAGAGCUCUAGCUGCCGGCCUACCCCACAGCCACAGCAACGCCUGAUCUGAGCUGUGUCUGCGACCUACACCGCAGAUCACGGCAACACCAGAUCCUUAACCCACUGAGCAAGGCCAGGAAUCAAACCCGCAACCUCAUGGUUCCUAGUCGGAUUCAUUUCCACUGCACCACGAUAGGAACUCCCUAAAAAAAAUUUUUUUUUAAAUCGAAGUAUAGUUGAUUUAUAAUGUUGUGUUAGUCCUGCUGUAGAGCCAAUGAUUUAGUUAUAUAUAUAACUAUAUAUCUCUCUCAGAUAUAUAUGUUUAUUUAUACAUAUGAAACUUUCAGAUAAUUUUCCAUUAUAGUUUAUUUUAAGAUAUUGACUCUAGUUCCCUGUGCUACACAGUCGGACCUUGCUGUUUAUCUAUUUUAAAUAGUCUGUAUCUGCUAAUCUCAAACUGCUAAUUCUCCUCCCCGCUCCCCCACUUUCCCAUUUGGUAGCCAUCAGUUUGUUUUCUAAGUCUGUGGGUCUGUUUCUGUUUUGUAAAUAAAUUCAUUUGUAUCCCUCUUUUAGAUUCCACAUAUAAGUGAUAUGACAUGAUAUUUGUCUUUCUUGGCCGGACCUGCUUCACUUAGUGUCAUAAUCUCUAGGUUUAUCCGUGUUACUGCAAAUGGUAUUAUGUCAUUCUGUUUUACGGCUGAGUAAUAUUCUAUUUUGUGUGUGUGUAUACAUGUGUAUACACGGUGGUAGAUACCACAUCUUAUCCAUUCAUCUUUUGAUGGACACUUAGGUUGCCUCCAAAUCUUGGCCUUUGUAAAUAGUGCUGCAAUCAACAUUGAGGCAAAUAUGUCCUUUUGAAUUAGAGUUUUCUCCAGUUUGCUGAGGAGCGGGACUGCUGGAAAAGUAUAAUUUCUAAAUAGGUUACCAGCUUCUUGAAGGUGGAGUUUUCAUCAGUGCAUGAAUCCACAGCAUCUGCCAUUGUAUGUCCAUUGGUAUAAAUUUCAAAUGCAUCAGUUGGUCUUGUCUGUGUCCAUUACAUCAAUGUUGAACCAUUUACAGAGUUAUUUCCUCAAACUGAGCAAGUCAAACGAGCAACAGUGAGCACGUACCUACCCCGUGUCCGAGCUGACACUAGGUUGUAUAGAAAUGCAGAGAUAAGAGGUCCCCGCCUGCCAGGAGCCAAGUCGAAGAGCUGCAGCUGUGUGGUCAAGUGCUAAGUAUGUCUGAAGGUCUGGCGUGUGUGCUGGUGGUGAGCCGUCGUAUGGGCCUAUGGAGCCAAAGGCAUAGCAUGUUCCCUGGAGAAGCUGAUGGCUGGAUGAGCUCCAGAUACCCCUGGAUGAGAGGCAAGGUGUGCACAGGCCUCCCCGAAUGCAGCCCCUGCAGCGUAGUGUGCGGAGCCCUUGGGGCCCCCAGGUCUGUGAGAGCAAAGAGAGUCACACAGUGUAGGAAAGAGGAGGCCAGUAGGAAGGAGGACCUAGCCUGUUCCUAACACGUGGGGUCUGACGGACUUAAAUGCCACUUUGUUUUUGGUGCUGAGCCGGAGGUUUCCUCUGGGGCCUCAGAUGGUUGUGAACUAUCAGGGGUCACUUUGAGCAGAGCUGCCUCUGCACCCAGGCCCGGGGAGCAUCCUUUCAGCGCUCUUUGGAUGAGGAAUGCCCACGCCUGGGCUGGACCUCCUGGGGUGACCUUGGACUCUCCUUGUGGCAUAUUCUUGCCUCAGGACUAGAAGGAAGGAAGGGUGGGUGCUGUCUCCCAGGAUGGCUGGUGCUGAGCCUGGCGAAGAAUCACCCUCCCUUCAGCUCACAGACAACCUUACCCAGGAGCUUAGUGCUUUAGUUUACAGCACAUGAGCUUGUAAUGUGGUGGCCAAGGAGCAGGUGGCACGG
rnacentral:lncRNA from 1 species